GCGCCGGUGUCGCUGCCCGGAAAGCAGAAGAUGCGGGUUCGAGUCCCGUCUGGCGCA
rnacentral:tRNA from 1 species